UAUUCCUCAGUGUGUCAUAGACAAAUGAG
rnacentral:piRNA from 1 species